UGGAGAUCAUCUACACUGAAUAUUAGUUGUUUGGAAGGGUCUAAUCCUAGUUCCUCUUUGCACCCCCUAAAAAACUCUUUCAGAUUUUCCUAAAGCAGAGAGAAGGAAAUUAAAAAUAUAUGGAAAAUUUGUCAGAAACUUGGAAAUCAGUCUAAUCAAACUUAAACAGAGAUUUCUGUGUUGCUCAAA